GCGGGAGUAGCUCAACUGGUAGAGCACCAGCCUUCCAAGCUGGAUGUCGCGGGUUCGAGCCCCGUCUCCCGCUCAA
rnacentral:tRNA from 1 species